rnacentral:rRNA from 1 species
GAUGAACGCUGGCGGCGUGCCUAAUACAUGCAAGUCGAGCGAACGGACGAGAAGCUUGCUUCUCUGAUGUUAGCGGCGGACGGGUGAGUAACACGUGGAUAACCUACCUAUAAGACUGGGAUAACUUCGGGAAACCGGAGCUAAUACCGGAUAAUAUUUUGAACCGCAUGGUUCAAAAGUGAAAGACGGUCUUGCUGUCACUUAUAGAUGGAUCCGCGCUGCAUUAGCUAGUUGGUAAGGUAACGGCUUACCAAGGCAACGAUGCAUAGCCGACCUGAGAGGGUGAAGGGCCACACUGGAGCUGAGACGCGGUCCUGACUCCUAGGGGAGGCAGCAGUAGGGAAUCUUCCGCAAUGGGGGAAAGCCUGACGGAGCAACGCCGCGUGAGUGAUGAAGGUCUUCGGAUCGGAAAACUCUGUUAUUAGGGAAGAACAUAUGUGUAAGUAACUGUGCACAUCUUGACGGUACCUAAUCAGAAAGCCACGGCUAACUACGUG